rnacentral:rRNA from 1 species
AGUGAACGCUGGCGGUAGGCCUAACACAUGCAAGUCGAACGGCAGCACAGUAAGAGCUUGCUCUUACGGGUGGCGAGUGGCGGACGGGUGAGGAAUACAUCGGAAUCUACUUUUUCGUGGGGGAUAACGUAGGGAAACUUACGCUAAUACCGCAUACGACCUACGGGUGAAAGCAGGGGAUCUUCGGACCUUGCGCGAUUGAAUGAGCCGAUGUCGGAUUAGCUAGUUGGCGGGGUAAAGGCCCACCAAGGCGACGAUCCGUAGCUGGUCUGAGAGGAUGAUCAGCCACACUGGAACUGAGAAACGGUCCAGACUCCUAAGGGAGGCAGCAGUGGGGAAUAUUGGACAAUGGGCGCAAGCCUGAUCCAGCCAUACCGCGUGGGUGAAGAAGGCCUUCGGGUUGUAAAGCCCUUUUGUUGGGAAAGAAAAGCAGCAGGUUAAUACCCCGCUGUUCUGACGGUACCCAAAGAAUAAGCACCGGCUAACUUCGUG